CUUGCAUGCAUGUGCCGGCCCUUCUAUAAAUAGGGCAUAGCUGGCACGCUAUCUUCCAAGACAAAGCUUGCAAAGCUCUAUCGAACCUGUUAUCAAGAAGCAUAUACAGAAAUGGCUGCAAAGUUCCCACUCCUCCUUGGCGUCGUAUUGGUCGCUCUCCUACUCGUCUCCCAGGAUGUAGCGCAUGCAGCAGAAGAAACGAUGCCUGCGCAACGUCCAGACGGGUAUAGUGGAUAUGGGCCUGGUUACCUUGGUGGCUACGACAACAACGGCGGAGGAGCCGGUCAAAAUGGCGGUGGUGGUGGUGGCAGCGGCUAUCCUUGAGGUGAAUAUUAUGGGGUGGCGGUCAAAAUGGUGAAUGUCACUCUAGAAACCAAAUAUAUAUGGUUUGUAUCCAUAUAUCAAAUAAGGAGCGUCUUCAUCUGCUCGAGCGUUUACUUGCUAGCAUGGCCGAUAUGAUAGUAUUGCGAGCUAGUAAAUGUAUGAUCACUUGUGUAUGCAUGACAUAUGCUGACUUUUAGAUAUGGUGGCAACGGUCAUGCGUACAUAUGUAUUUGAACAAUAUCCAUAAAUGGACCUAUUUCCAGUUAA